rnacentral:rRNA from 1 species
UCAAGAAACUUCCACAAUGGGCGAAAGCCUGAUGGAGCGACGUCGCGUGAUGGACGAAGUGCUUCGGCACGUAAACAUCUUUUUAUGUGGGAUGAAAUUAUUGACAGUACCACAUGAAUAAGGGGCUCCUAACUCUGUGCCAGCAGGAGCGGUAAUACAGAGGCCCCAAGCGUUAUCCGGAAUCACUGGGCGUAAAGGGUGUCGAGGCGGUUGUAUUAGUCGUUCGUAAAAUCUACGAGCUUAACUUGUAGGCGGCGAACGAAACGGUACGACUUGAGGUUUGGAGAGGUGCGUGGAACUCACGGUGUAGGGGUGAAAUCCGUUGAUAUCG